rnacentral:rRNA from 1 species
UACGGGGGGGGCAAGCGUUGUUCGGAAUUACUGGGCGUAAAGGGCUCGUAGGCGGCCAACUAAGUCAGACGUGAAAUCCCUGGGCUUAACCUAGGAACUGCAACUUAGACUGGUUAACUGGAGUACUGUAGAGGGUAGUGGAAUUUCCGGUGUAGCGGUGAAAUGCGUAGAGAUCAGGAGGAACACCGAUGGCGAAGGCAGCUCGCUGGGACGGUACUGACGCUGAGGCGCGAAAGCGUGGGGAGCAAACAGG